UUUGCCUACGGGGCGCAGCAGUGGGGGAUAUUGCACAAUGGGGGGAACCCUGAUGCAGCAACGCCGCGAGGGUGAAGGAGUACCCCGGUACGUAAAGCCCUAUCGGCAGGGGAGAAGAUGACGGUACAUGACUAAGAAGCCCCGGCUAACUACGUGCCAGCAGCCGCGGUAAUACGUAGGGGGCAAGCGUUAUCCGGAUUUACUGGGGGUAAAGGGAGCGCAGACGGAAGUG
rnacentral:rRNA from 1 species